AGUAGGAUGAUUGGGUCAUGUGGUAAGAGUAUGCUUAGUUUUAUAAGAUAUUGCCAACGUGUCUGCCAAACUGGCUAGAUCAUUUUGUAUUCCCACCAAUAAU
rnacentral:pre_miRNA from 1 species